UACAGAGGGGGCAAGCGUUGUUCGGAAUUACUGGGCGUAAAGGGCGCGUAGGCGGCCCUCUAAGUCGGACGUGAAAUCCCCGGGCUCAACCCGGGAACUGCGUCCGAUACUGGAAGGCUCGAAUCCGGGAGAGGGAUGUGGAAUUCCAGGUGUAGCGGUGAAAUGCGUAGAUAUCUGGAGGAACACCGGUGGCGAAGGCGGCAUCCUGGACCGGUAUUGACGCUGAGGCGCGAAAGCCAGGGGAGCAAACGGG
rnacentral:rRNA from 1 species